AACGAACGCUGGCGGCAGGCUUAACACAUGCAAGUCGAACAGGCCCUUCGGGGUCAGUGGCAGACGGGUGAGUAACGCGUGGGAACGUGCCCUUCAGUUCGGGAUAACCCAGGGAAACUUGGGCUAAUACCGGAUACGUGCGAGAGCAGAAAGAUUUAUCGCUGAAGGAUAGGCCCGCGUCUGAUUAGCUGGUUGGUGGGGUAAUGGCCCACCAAGGCGACGAUCAGUAGCUGGUCUGAGAGGAUGAUCAGCCACAUAGGGACUGAGACACGGCCCAAACUCCUACGGGAGGCAGCAGUGGGGAAUAUUGGACAAUGGGCGCAAGCCUGAUCCAGCCAUGCCGCGUGAGUGAUGACGGCCUUAGGGUUGUAAAGCUCUUUCGCACGCGACGAUAAUGACGGUAGCGUGAGAAGAAGCCCCGGCUAACUUCGUGCCAGCCGCCGCGGUAA
rnacentral:rRNA from 1 species